CCUACGGGAGGCAGCAGUGAGGAAUAUUGGACAAUGGGCGCAAGCCUGAUCCAGCCAUGCCGCGUGCAGGAAGACGGUCCUAUGGAUUGUAAACUGCUUUUGUACAGGAAGAAGCACUCCCUCGUGAGGGAGCUUGACGGUACUGUAAGAAUAAGGAUCGGCUAACUCCGUGCCAGCAGCCGCGGUAAUACGGAGGAUCCAAGCGUUAUCCGGAAUCAUUGGGUUUAAAGGGUCCGUAGGCGGUUUAAUAAGUCAGUGGUGAAAUCUGGUCGCUCAACGAUCAAACGGCCAUUGAUACUGUUAGACUUGAAUUAUUAGGAAGUAACUAGAAUAUGUAGUGUAGCGGUGAAAUGCUUAGAUAUUACAUGGAAUACCAAUUGCGAAGGCAGGUUACUACUAAUGGAUUGACGCUGAUGGACGAAAGCGUGGGGAGCGAACAGGAUUAGAUACCCUGGUAGUCCACGCCGUAAACGAUGGAUACUAGCUGUUCGGAGCAAUCUGAGUGGCUAAGCGAAAGUGAUAAGUAUCCACCUGGGGAGUACGUUCGCAGAUGAAACUCAAGAAUUGACGNNGAGAGNGCGAGNGANAGAGGAGAG
rnacentral:rRNA from 1 species